GCCACUCUUCACGUGGCAUUUUCCCUGUGUCUCCACCCCGUCUUCCCUUUUUGUGUGUCUUUGUAUCCAAAUUUCUUCUUUUUCUAAGGACACCACUUAUAUUGGAUAAGGGCCCACCCUAAUGAACUCAUUUUAAUUUGACUAUCUCUAUAAAGGCCAUAUUUCUAAAUAAAGUCACAUUCUGAGGUACUGGGGAUGAAGAUAUCUAUAAAUGGUUUUGGUUGGGGGGCAAUGGGAGUGGAGGGCACAAUUUAACCCAUAACCACAGCUAAAGGAUGGGAAGGUAUUAAUAGGGUUGAGGGUUUUUGGAGCUGAUAGGAUUUGUGGGCAUGAGAGUGGAUGGCUGGAGGGUCUGGAGACAGAGACAUGGAAGAUGAGCUGGUGAGUUGCAGUCCAGCACUUUUGAUCUUCCUUACCCUGCCUUUCCCCUACUCCAGUUUUUCUUAACCUCUAUGAUAUUUACGUCUUCAAAAUAAUACUUUUGUUUAUUGUCUCCUCCUGAUGAGAAUGUAAGCUCCAAAAGGGAAAGAAUCUUUGUUUCAUUCCCUUAUGUAACCUAAGGAUCUUGAACAUCACUUGGCACAUAGUAGGUACUCAAUAAAUAUUUAGUGAGUAAAUGAAUGAAUAUUGAGCCCCCCCCCCCCAAUAUGGGGCCAUACUCAGCUCUGACCUUGUCAUUCUUCUAUUCCCUUAGCCUCCAUGCCAAGAUUAGAGGACAGGAUCCAAGUUCAUUCACUACAUUCACUAGAUGUUUGGUUUUUGUUUCUUUUCCUUUUUCUUUCUUUCUUUCUUUCUUUUUUUUUUUUUUUUUUUUUUUGAGAUGGAGUUUUGCGCUUGUCACCCAGGCUGGAGUGCGAUGGCGCAAUCUCAGCUCACUGCAACCUCUGCCUUCCAGGUUCAAGUGAUUCUCCUGCCUCAGCCUCUGAGUAGCUGGGAUUACAGGCAUGUGCCACCACGCCCGGCUAAUUUUGUAUUUUUAGUAGAGACAGGGUUUCUCCAUGUUGGCCAGGCUGGUCUCGAACUCCUGACCUCAGGUGAUCUGCCUGCCUCAGCCUCCCAAAGUGCUAGGAUUACAGGCCUGAGCCACCGUGCCCAGUCCACUGGGUGGUUUUAAAGGAUCCCUUUGCUUGGCCCCUGCCCAUGGCUUAGUCCGUCUUUGGCCUGGUCCUCUUGGACCCUAGGCUCUGACCACAGUCACACUUCCCAAGUGCCAUAAGAUUUUCUGCCUCU
rnacentral:lncRNA from 1 species